rnacentral:rRNA from 1 species
AAGAACCGCCCAUACCGAACCACGUAAUGCUAAGCGCCUGAAGUGUGGCACCGUCUUCGGAUGGUUCCUCAUGGAGCGCGCGACCCUAGCGAGUAGUAGGUAAGCAAUGGAGAGACGCAGGAAGGUAGCCGAACCGCGGCGAUGGUUGUUCCGCGGGUAAGGGUGUAGGGCGAGGUGUAGGCAAAUCCGCACCUCAUGUGCCUGAGACCUGACACGGACCCGUAAGGGGAAGUCGGUGAUCCUAUGCUGCCAAGAAAAUCUUCUAGCGAGGUUCUAGCCGCCCGUACCCCAAACCGACUCAGGUGGUUAGGUAGAGAAUACCAAGGCGAUCGAGUGAAUCGUGGUUAAGGAAUUCGGCAAAAUACCCCCGUAACUUCGGGAGAAGGGGGGCCCAGAGGGUGACGGGACUUGCUCCCCGAGCCUGAACGGCCGCAGAGACCAGGGAGAAGCGACUGUUUACUAAAAACACAGGUCCGUGCCAAGUCGCAAGACGAUGUAUACGGACUGACGCCUGCCCGGUGCUGGAGCGUUAAGGGGACCGGUUAGCCUCACGGCGAAGCUAAGAACUUAAGCGCCAGUAAACGGCGGUGGUAACUAUAACCAUCCUAAGGUAGCGAAAUUCCUUGUCGGGUAAGUUCCGACCUGCACGAAUGGCGUAACGACUUCUCCACUGUCUCAACCACGAACUCGGCGAAAUUGCACUACGAGUAAAGAUGCUCGUUACGCGCAGAAGGACGGAAAGACCCCGGGACCUUUACUACAGCUUGGUAUUGGUGUUCGGUACGGCUUGUGUAGGAUAGGUGGGAGACUGUGAAGCUGACACGCCAGUGUCGGUGGAGUCAACGUUGAAAUACCACUCUGGUCGUUCUGGAUAUCUAACCUAGGUCCGUAAUCCGGAUCAGGGACAGUGCCUGGUGGGUAGUUUAACUGGGGCGGUUGCCUCCUAAAAGGUAACGGAGGCGCCCAAAGGUUCCCUCAGCCUGGUUGGCAAUCAGGUUUCGAGUGUAAGUGCACAAGGGAGCUUGACUGUGAGACUGACAAGUCGAACAGGGACGAAAGUCGGGACUAGUGAUCCGGCGGUGGCUUGUGGAAGCGCCGUCGCUCAACGGAUAAAAGGUACCCCGGGGAUAACAGGCUGAUCUUGCCCAAGAGUCCACAUCGACGGCAUGGUUUGGCACCUCGAUGUCGGCUCGUCGCAUCCUGGGGCUGGAGUAGGUCCCAAGGGUUGGGCUGUUCGCCCAUUAAAGCGGUACGCGAGCUGGGUUUAGAACGUCGUGAGACAGUUCGGUCCCUAUCCUCUGCGCGCGCAGGAAACUUGAGAAGGGCUGUCCCUAGUACGAGAGGACCGGGAUGGACGAACCUCUGGUGUGUCAGUUGUUCUGCCAAGAGCACCGCUGAUUAGCUACGUUCGGGAGUGAUAACCGCUGAAAGCAUCUAAGCGGGAAGCAUGCUUCAAGAUGAGGUUUCCAUGGGGUUUACCCCGAGAGGCUCCCAGCUAGACUACUGGGUUGAUAGGCCGGAUGUGGAAGUGCGGUAACGCAUGGAGCUGACCGGUA